GUAGCGGUGAAAUGCGUAGAUAUUGGGAAGAACACCAGUGGCGAAGGCGCUCUACUGGGCCGUAACUGACGCUGAGGGACGAAAGCUAGGGGAGCGAAAGGGAUUAGAUACCCCUGUAGUCCUAGCUGUAAACGAUGGAUACUAGGUGUUGGACGUAUCGACCCGUUCAGUACCGCAGCCAACGCGAUAAGUAUCCCGCCUGGGGAGUACGCACGCAAGUGUGAAACUCAAAGGAAUUGACGGGGGCCCGCACAAGCGGUGGAGUAUGUGGUUUAAUUCGAUGCAACGCGAAGAACCUUACCAGGGCUUGACAUCCCGCGAAUCCUUGUGAAAGCGAGGAGUGCCUUCGGGAGCGCGGAGACGGGUGGUGCAUGGCUGUCGUCAGCUCGUGUCGUGAGAUGUUGGGUUAAGUCCCGCAACGAGCGCAACCCACGUCCUUAGUUGCCAUCAUUGAGUUGGGCACUCUGGGGAGACUGCCGGGGACAACUCGGAGGAAGGUGUGGAUGACGUCAAGUCAUCAUGCCCCUUACGUUCUGGGCUACACACGUACUACAAUGCUUCGGACAAAGGGCAGCCAACUAGCGAUAGUGAGCUAAUCCCAUAAACCGAGGCACAGUUCAGAUUGCAGGCUGCAACUCGCCUGCAUGAAGGAGGAAUCGCUAGUAAUCGCCGGUCAGCAUACGGCGGUGAAUACGUUCCCGGGCCUUGCACUCACCGCCCGUC
rnacentral:rRNA from 1 species